rnacentral:rRNA from 1 species
AUUGAACGCUGGCGGCAGGCCUAACACAUGCAAGUCGAACGGUAGCACAGAGAGCUUGCUCUCGGGUGACGAGUGGCGGACGGGUGAGUAAUGUCUGGGAAACUGCCCGAUGGAGGGGGCUAACUACUGGAAACGGUAGCUAAUACCGCAUAACGUCGCAAGACCAAAGUGGGGGUCCUUCGGGCCUCACACAAUCGGAUGUGCCCAGAUGGGAUUAGCUAGUAGGUGGGGUAAUGGCUCACCUAGGCGACGAUCCCUAGCUGGUCUGAGAGGAUGACCAGCCACACUGGAACUGAGACACGGUCCAGACUCCUACGGGAGGCAGCAGUGGGGAAUAUUGCACAAUGGGCGCAAGCCUGAUGCAGCCAUGCCGCGUGUAUGAAGAAGGCCUUCGGGUUGUAAAGUACUUUCAGCGGGGAGGAAGGCGGUGAAGUUAAUAGCUUCACCGAUUGACGUUACCCGCAGAAGAAGCACCGACUAACUCCGUGCCAGCCGCCGCCGUAA